rnacentral:rRNA from 1 species
CAGCAGCCGCGGUAAAACGAAGGGGGCUAGCGUUGCUCGGAAUUACUGGGCGUAAAGGGAGCGUAGGCGGACAUUUAAGUCAGGGGUGAAAUCCCGGGGCUCAACCUCGGAAUUGCCUUUGAUACUGGGUGUCUUGAGUAUGAGAGAGGUAUGUGGAACUCCGAGUGUAGAGGUGAAAUUCGUAGAUAUUCGGAAGAACAUCAGUGGCGAAGGCGACAUACUGGCUCAUUACUGACGCUGAGGCUCGAAAGCGUGGGGAGCAAACAGGAUUAGAUACCCCCGUAGUCCCUGUCUCUUAUAC